rnacentral:rRNA from 1 species
GCCCUGCCGUAAACUUAGAUAUUUAAUCACAACAAAUAUCCGCCUGGGAACUACGAGCGUUAGCUUAAAACCCAAAGGACUUGGCGGUGCUUCAGACCCCCCUAGAGGAGCCUGUUCUAGAACCGAUAACCCCCGUUCAACCUCACUAUUCCUUGCUUUUCCCGCCUAUAUACCGCCGUCGCCAGCUUACCCUGUGAAGGUAUUACAGUAAGCAAAACGGGCAUUGCCCAGAACGUCAGGUCGAGGUGUAGCGUACGGAGUAGGAAGAAAUGGGCUACAUUAUCUGAAACAGAUUAUUCACGGAGGGUCACCUGAAACGGCGACCCGAAGGUGGAUUUAGCAGUAAGGGGAGAAUAGAGCGCCCCCCUGAAGCCGGCUCUGAAGCGCGCACACACCGCCCGUCACUCUCCCCAACAGCAUAACAACUAGUUAUUUAACCCAAGAACAGCUACAAGGGGAGGCAAGUCGUAACAUGGUAAGUGUACCGGAAGGUGCGCUUGGAAUAAC